AACGCACAUUGCGCUCUUUGGUAUUCCGAAGAGCAUGCCUGUUUGAGUGUCAUAUAGACUCAUCCUCUCGGGUUUCCGAGUUGGGUGCUUUGGACGUCUGCCAUGCUUUGGCUCGUCUUAAAUGUCUAAGUGGAAUGCGUAAUAAGUUUUCGCUCCCUCCACUCUAAUACACUUUUAUCUCUGACCUCAAAUCAGGUAGGACUACCCGCUGAACUUAA
rnacentral:misc_RNA from 2 species